CAGCAACAAAUGUAUACAUAAAAUUUUAACCAUCUGUUAUUCCUUUAACUAAACAAUAUCAAGAUUAAAGAGACUACCAGUAUUUUACAGGAAUACAAGAAUAAGCCUACUGUUAACAGAAUAAAAAGCGUGUGCACAUUUACACAAGGAUAGCACUCAUUUUUCUUCAACUUUUAGCAAACUGGUGAGGAAGAAAACAAACACUUUCUAAAUGUUAAAAAUUAAAUUAAAUUAAAUCAGAUUCACUAGAAAUAUGAGGUGUUUACAUUGGACUUUGUGUUGCUUUUCACCAUUUCAGACAUGAGACAUGUUCCUGUAUGUGGCUUUAUUCAAGCCGUUCUUUCCAUUUGCUAUAUGUAAUUAUAUAUUGGUCAUAUUCAUUUUGUAGAAUUUCUUAUAAAUGUAUUGCUAAGAAUCAAUCUUUCCAAAAGCAAGCAUCCAUUAUUCAUCUUCCAACCUGUCUUUAAGCACAGAGCUAUGGCAGAUAAUUACCCUCUAUCAAUAUAUUAUACAAAGAGAAGGCUACUGUUUACAUGCAUCAGCUGUGCUGUGCUCUCUUGAACUUAUGCUUUUUUUAGGGGGUGCUACAGUUAGGCAGUGGAACAAUGCAAGCUUCCAGUUUGACCAAAACAUUUUAAAGAGAAAAAGUGUGAUUUAUGAAGUAGCUACUAAGAAUGUGCCAUCCAGUUAUAGCCAAAAUAUAAAGUAGUAUUUGUAUUCCACAAAGGAAUCUGUGAUUAGGCAAUUCCUGUAACUGAUGUUUAUUUUGCCACUUAAUUCUGAGACAAACUGUUACCUCUCAAAUGAAUGCUGAUGGAAAUAAACCAAAUGUGCUUUUUAUUAUAUCUAUUAAUAGUUGAGUUCUACACAAGGUGAUUUAAAAAUUUGUUUCCUUUCUAAAUUGUAAGUGUAGAUGAAAUUUAUAGAAUCAGUAUUGUGGGACAUAUGUAAAGUUGCUUUGUCACUAAAUAUUUAGUGGACAUGGAUACUGGCAUACUGGACUUCUUACCAUAGGCAAUUUCUGAUGUCCUAAGGAAUGCUAAUCAAUUUAUGAACCAGAUGUUACUUCCACAUAUGGCUUAGAAAGGCUGUAAUCUCUAUGAUUGAAGACCAUGAGGCUCUUCUGAUUUUCAAGAUAGGGUUUUUUAAUGAAUUUAUCUUUAUGGACACAUUAAAUUAUGUAUGCAUGAGGCUCCUUCAACACAUUUUUUCACAGAGAGCAUGUUAAAGAUUUUAGUGUAGCUUCAGCUUCCUAAAAAACUGCCAAUAAUACAAUUAUGGUAAAAUUACCCUACAAUCGUAAUUGCUUCUUUAAAACAUCACGUGUAAAAUGAAAAUUGUUUUAAUGGGUAAUACAUACCAUUAAGAUCUCAUUUUUGG
rnacentral:lncRNA from 1 species